rnacentral:rRNA from 1 species
CCGUUUCAAAAGAGCUAAUUUAAUAAUUUAGUUAGUGUUGCAUAAUUAUUAAAAAUAUAAUUUAGAGGAGAAAUUCCAUUCGUUCUUAAUGGUAUCUAGUUUUUUAAGAAAUAAAUUUAAUUUAGCUUCAUUAAUUAAGUUACUUAUUAUUUAAGGAAUUUAUUUAUUGAUUGAAAAAUUAUAGGGGAUAAGCUCUAUAUUUAUACUAUAAGUUUAUAUUUUAAUUAAUUUAUGUAGGGUUAAGAUUAUCUAUCAUUAUAAAGUAUGUUAUAAUUUAAAUUAAUUAUUAAAAGAUUUUAUUUAUUUUAGAUUUUUAUUAAAAUAUUGAAUUUAAUUUUGAAUUUUAAGUAAUAAUGAUUAAAUUAGUAUAUUUUGUUGUUUAUAUAAGAUUAAAUGAGAUGAUAGAAUAAGGAAUUCGGCAAAUAUAACACUCGCCUGUUUAACAAAAACAUGGCCUCUUGAAAUUUUGAAUAGGAGGUCUGACCUGCCCAGUGAUAAUUAUUUUAACGGCCGCGGUAUGCUGACCGG